rnacentral:rRNA from 1 species
GACGAACGCUGGCGGCGUGCUUAACACAUGCAAGUCGAACGGAAAGGCCCUGCUUUUGUGGGGUGCUCGAGUGGCGAACGGGUGAGUAACACGUGAGUAACCUGCCCUUGACUUUGGGAUAACUUCAGGAAACUGGGGCUAAUACCGGAUAGGAGCUCCUGCUGCAUGGUGGGGGUUGGAAAGUUUCGGCGGUUGGGGAUGGACUCGCGGCUUAUCAGCUUGUUGGUGGGGUAGUGGCUUACCAAGGCUUUGGCGGGUAGCCGGCCUGAGAGGGUGACCGGCCACAUUGGGACUGAGAUACGGCCCAGACUCCUACGGGAGGCAGCAGUGGGGAAUAUUGCACAAUGGGCGGAAGCCUGAUGCAGCAACGCCGCGUGCGGGAUGACGGCCUUCGGGUUGUAAACCGCUUUCGCCUGUGACGAAGCGUGGGUGACGGUAAUGGGUAAAGAAGCACCGGCUAACUACGUG